AAAGCAGGUCUGCAAUUGCAGUGCUUCCAUUCAGUGGGAGUGGUGUCAUUAAUCCUGCUGAGAGUAAUCAAAUCAAUAUCAAAUUGUAUUUGUCACGUGCCGAAUACAAAAGGUGUAGAUCUUACAGUG
ensembl:snoRNA